rnacentral:rRNA from 1 species
CCUANGGGAGGCUGCAGUCGAGGAUCUUUAGCAAUGGACGAAAGUCUGACUAUGCGACGCCGCGUGAGGGAUGAAGGAUUUCGGUUCGUAAACCUCUUUCGAUGGGGAAGAAAGCCUGUACUCUAACAUAGUGCAGGUUUGACGGUACCUAGAGAAGAAGCCACGGCCAACUCUGUGCCAGCAGCCGCGGUAAUACAGGGGUGGCGAGCGUUACUCGGAUUUAUUGGGUGUAAAGGGCAGGUAGGCGUUCUGCCAAGUUAGAGGUGAAAUCCUAUGGCUCAACCAUAGAACUGCCUCUAAAACUGGUGGAAUUGAGGUCAGAAGAGGAAAGCGGAAUUCCCGGUGUAAGGGUGAAAUCUGUAGAUAUCGGGAGGAACACCAGUGGCGAAGGCGGCUUUCUGGUCUGACCCUGACGCUAAGCUGCGAAAGCUAGGGGAGCAAACAGGAUUAGAUACCCGGNUANUC